GAUGAACGCUGGCGGCGUGCCUAACACAUGCAAGUCGAGCGAACAGACGAGGAGCUUGCUUUCCUGACGUUAGCGGCGGACGGGUGAGUAACAAGUGGAUAACCUACCUAUAAGAAUGGGAUAACUUCGGGAAACCGGAGCUAAUAACGUAUAGUAUGUUGAACCGUAUGGUUCAACAGUGAAAGACGGUCUUGCUGUAACUUAUAGAUGGAUCCGCGCCGCAUUAGCUAGUUGGUAAGGUAACGGCUUACCAAGGCAACGAUGCGGAGCCGACCUGAGAGGCUGAUCGGCCACACUGGGACUGAGACACUCUUCAGGCUCCCACGGGAGGCAGCAGUGGGGACACUUCUGCAUAGGGCGAAAGCCUGUCGCUGCAAACCCUCUUGAGUGAAGAAGGUCUCCGUAGCGUAAAACGUUGUUAAUAUGGAAUAACAGAUGUGUAUGGUAGCAUUGUCGCCAUGACGGUACCAAAUCAGUAAGCCACGGCUAACUACGUG
rnacentral:rRNA from 1 species